rnacentral:lncRNA from 1 species
AUAAGCAAGUCUAAUAUAGUACUUUUGUAUUAAAUAAAAAAAUUUAAAGACAUAAGUACAAUAGUUUAUACUUUUUGAAAAUGUGAUUCCUAAAGCAUAUUUUAAAGAUUUUUUUUGAUUAAAAAUAAUCAUUAAGAUGAUUUCUUUAUAUCCUAAUAGAUACUCUUUCAUUAAGAUUUUUUCAUUUAAUAAACUUAUCAAUAAUUAAUUUUUUUUAAAUAACUUUGGUAUUUUUAAUUUGUCUUGUGUAUUUACUUUUGCAUCAUUU